AUGGCGGGGCGGGACGUCGUGUCCUGGACCGCGCUGGUGUCCGCGUUCGUCAGGGGAGGGAGGUUCGUCGAGGCUCUCGCGGUGUUUGGCGAGAUGGACGUUGCGCCGAACGAGGGGACAUUGGCUAGCGCGCUGGUCGCGUGCGGGCGGCUGGGGGCUGUGCGUGCUGGGAAGGCCGUGCACGGGUGGUGUCUCAAGCGGCAGAGGGAGCUGGAACUCAUCGUUGGGAAUGCUUUGUUAGAUAUGUAUGUCAAGUGCGAGAAGUUGCAUCUUGCAAGGCGGGUGUUCGACAGGCUUUUGGUGAGGGACAUUGUUUCUUGGACGGUCAUGAUAAGUGGUUUGGUGCACUGCAGGCUUCCUAGCGAGGCCUUGGAGCUGUUCAAUGGGAUGCAGACAUCAGGGGUGAAGCCAGAUAAGGUUGUUCUCUCCACUGUCCUCUCAGCUUGUGCGAGCUUAGGCGCGCUGGAGUCUGGGAGGUGGGUGCAUGAAUAUAUAGAGCGUAAAGGCAUCGAGUGGGAUGUACAUGUGGGGACAUCAUUGGUUGAUAUGUACGCAAAGUGCGGGUGCUUGGAAACUUCUCUUUCAAUCUUCCAUAAGAUGCCCGUAAAGAAUGUAUCAUCUUGGAAUGCGUUGAUCAAUGGGUUCGCAUUGCAUGGUCAUGGUAGGGAAGCUCUUGUGUACUUUGACAGGAUGGUGGCUUCAGGCUUGCCCCCCAAUGAAGUCACCUUUAUAAUCGUCCUUGGUGCUUGCUGCCACACAGGUUUGGUGCAAGAAGGCCUCGGGUUGUUUAAUUUGAUGAAUAAUUCAUACAAUCUCUCGCCAUGGGAAGAGCAUUACGGUUGCAUGGUUGAUCUUCUUGGCAGAGCUGGGCUCAUUCAGGAAGCAUAUGGUUUAAUUAAGGUCAUGCCUAUGACGCCUGCUGUGUCCACGUGGGGAGCCCUGCUGAGUGCAUGCCAAGCUCAUGGGCGAGUAGAGUUUUCACAGCAGAUUCUAAGGCAUGUCCAUGAGUUGGAGUCCUCUGGGAGUGGGUUUUAUGUACUCCUCUCAAAUUUAUAUGCUCUGAAUGAUAGAUGGACUGAUGUAAAGAGGGUGAGAGGGCUGUUGAGUGAAAAAGGCUUGUGGAAGGAGCCAGGAUCCAGUUUGAUUGAGGUGAAUGGUAAGACCAGUGAAUUUGUAGUUGGACAGACGAACCAUCAAGAUAUGGAUGCGAUAUGUGCCGUGCUUUUCAUGCUAAUGAAGCAAAUACAUUUGGAUGCGUUGUAA
rnacentral:rRNA from 1 species